rnacentral:rRNA from 1 species
UACGUAGGGUGCGAGCGUUGUCCGGAAUUAUUGGGCGUAAAGGGCUCGUAGGCGGUUUGUCGCGUCGGGAGUGAAAUCCACUGGCUUAACUGGUGGCUUGCUUUCGAUACGGGCAGACUGGAGGUAUGCAGGGGAGAACGGAAUUCCUGGUGUAGCGGUGAAAUGCGCAGAUAUUAGGAGGAACACCGGUGGCGAAGGCGCCACUCUGGGCCGAAACUGACGCUGAGGAGCGAAAGCGUGGGUAGCAAACAGG